AGGACGAACGCUGGCGGCGUGCUUAACACAUGCAAGUCGAACGGAAAGGCCCGCUUGCGGGUACUCGAGUGGCGAACGGGUGAGUAACACGUGGGCAACCUGCCCUCAGCUCUGGGAUAACUCCGGGAAACCGGUGCUAAUACUGGAUAUCGACUUCUGCCUCGCAUGGGGUGUUGUUGAAAGUUUUUCGGCUGGGGAUGGGCCCGCGGCCUAUCAGCUUGUUGGUGGGGUGAUGGCCUACCAAGGCGACGACGGGUAGCCGGCCUGAGAGGGCGACCGGCCACACUGGGACUGAGACACGGCCCAGACUCCUACGGGAGGCAGCAGUGGGGAAUAUUGCGCAAUGGGCGGAAGCCUGACGCAGCGACGCCGCGUGAGGGAUGGACGGCCUUCGGGUUGUAAACCUCUUUCAGCUCUGACGAAGCGAGAGUGACGGUAGGAGCAGAAGAAGCGACCGGCCAACUACGUGCCAGCAGCCGC
rnacentral:rRNA from 1 species